GGGGCCACGUCUUCGAGAUGGAAUUCAGAGUUUUAAGGAAUCCCGAGCGAAUACGCGUGCCAUGACGGCUUCGAUGGCGAUCAUGCGAAAUUGCCUCCAAAGUUGCACAGCGAGGGCGACUGGAUAUAGUGGGAUAGAUUGGGUCGUGGAUUAACUAGUACAUCCGCCUAUCAAAUCUGUUUGUCUGCUUCUAUCUAUGCUCACAAAGUGUGAACGCCACCAUCGAAUUUCCCACCGGACUGGCUUAACAUAAAUGUACUCUGCAGAGACACUAAAGUAAUCCUUGCCGAUCUCAAAAAGAGCGGUAAGAUGCAAUGUAAGAUACGGAGAUGCGGCAAGAACUUGACUCUCAAGAUCUUUGAGCAACAUUGCCGACACGUCGGUCGCCUCUUGAGCUCCGGCGAAGAUUCAUGACGAGAAUUCACGAAUCAGACCGUGGUAUAAAUGACUCUGUUCUAUGUCAAUUCGCAAUAAUCUGAUCUCAUUGCAUGCAACGAGCCUCCCUCGAGUGUGGCCAUCCAUCAUCAGAUCAGUCGCACCCUCCGUGGCCGCGAACACGGCCGGACCAGCUCGGACUGCAAAAAUAGGCCACUUUUUAAACAACCAUAACAUUUUUCCAAAACUCUAGUGACCGUAGAUCGCGAGUGGCAACAUGAGAAACUACCUCGUGGUAAUUUGUCUUCUUCAAGCGUCUUUGGUCAAUUGUGGGGUGCGGCCGAGCUUUGUAUCCGACGAAAUGAUCGCGAUUGCCUCUAGCGUGGUGAAUGCCUGCCAAGUCCAGACAGGGGUGUCCACGGCCGACAUCGAGGCGGUAAGGAACGGCCACUGGCCCGAAACGCGGUCGCUGAAGUGUUACAUGUACUGCCUGUGGGAAAACUUCGGUCUGGUGGACCACAAAAAGGAACUCAGCCUUAACGGCAUGCUCACGUUUUUCCAAAGAAUACCGGCCUACAGAGCCGAGGUUCAAAAAGCAAUUAACGAAUGCAAAUGGCUCAGUAAAUACAUGGGUAAUGGCGACAGCUGCCAUUACGCGUACAUGUUCAAUAAGUGUUAUGCGGGAUUAUCCCCAAAGACUUAUUACCUGUUUUAAGUAAACGCUCGCACAUCCGCACACGGAAGAGGAAAAUACCGAGUAGUGAGGGUUCGCGGAUUUGGAAAUCAUCGCAGCAGCUACUCUUUAUGCAAUGAAAAUUACGACGCCUCUUAAGAUAAUUAUGUAUCGUUGUGUUCCGAAUAAAGGCAUGACGGUAAUACGCGCGUUAAUGAUUUGCGGAAAAUCAAAAUGUGCGGCUUCGGCAUGGAACGUGCAAGUUGUAAAUUAUAAGGAAAAAAUCGCGCAAGCCGAUUAUUAAAAAAAUUUACAACACGUCAUGAGGUGAAGG